rnacentral:rRNA from 1 species
GACGAACGCUGGCGGCGUGCUUAACACAUGCAAGUCGAACGGAGCGAAUGAAAGCCUGCUUUUAUGAGCUUAGUGGCAAACGGGUGAGUAACACGUAGACAACCUGCCGACAGGAUGGGGACAACAUUCCGAAAGGAAUGCUAAUACCGAAUGAAGCGGAGGAGAGGCAUCUCUCCUCCGUGAAAGAUGGCCUCUAUUUAUAAGCUAUCACCUGUCGAUGGGUCUGCGUCUGAUUAGCUAGUUGGUGAGGUAACGGCUCACCAAGGCGACGAUCAGUAGCCGGUCUGAGAGGAUGAACGGCCACAUUGGGACUGAGACACGGCCCAGACUCCUACGGGAGGCAGCAGUGGGGAAUCUUCCGCAAUGGGCGCAAGCCUGACGGAGCAACGCCGCGUGAGUGAAGAAGGUCUUCGGAUCGUAAAGCUCUGUUGAUGGGGACGAACGUGCGAAGGGGAAUA